rnacentral:lncRNA from 14 species
AGCAGCGCCUCCGACCCGCCACCCAUCGCUGGAUGUUCCUCCACUUUACCCACCGUAUCAAACAACUUUUACCAGUAAAUAUCGGUUUAUUCCUGAAACCAGAAGCCCUAAACAUACCUUUGUUUAUAAGUUUUCCUGCUCUGCAUCUCCGGGAAUGGAGCCCGCAGGACCUAGAGCCUUCUGUUGCAUUCCUGCAGCACUUUGCAUCCCUGUUACGAGGAGGCUCCAGAGGUCCUGCCACCGCGGCACCAACUGCAGCCAGCGCUCGUGCACUGGUGUACCAAGCCUCAGAACCACUGCUCUCUCCAGCUCAUAGGAUGCUUUUCCGAGACUGUGGAUACGUGUAUGUGUACUGCUGUGUUGAUAAGUAAAUGCCAACGAUGGAGUUCGUUGCUUUUAUACAUCCCAAAGAGAAGUUCUCCACCGUUCAUUUUUCUGUUUUCUGACUGAAAAGGUGUGUGUUUGUGAACAGUGUUCACGCAAGUUCUGCCAUCCCACCCUCACAUCAGCUUAUACCAAUGCCAGGAUGGGAGGAUUUGCCUGCGAACCUUCCCCAAAACACCCCGGUCCGCAGUGGCAUCGUCAGGGAGCAGUUCAAACGUGUGUCCUUUGGGCUUUGUGUAAAGCAGAUGCAGAACAAGAAAAAUCACGAUGUUAAAUCCAUUAGAAAACCAAUUCCUUAUUGUACAGUAGUAUGGAGAUCUCUAGUCAACCUGCCAUUAAUACUAGAUUCUUAUUUUUUGAAUGAUCUAUUUAAAAGAACAGCAAGCAUUGUAUUUGCUAGUAAAUCUGAAGUGUUUACAUGGAAUUACUAAAUAAAUUAUUUGAUCUAAGAUGGCUCUCA